AUGCCAUGAUGUGGGCACUUCCUCAAUAACUCCUUGAACCUCUCCCAAGCAUCACACAUCGACUCAUCCUCCAACUGUUGAAAAGAAAUAAUCUCAUUAUGAAACUU